rnacentral:rRNA from 1 species
AACGAACGCUGGCGGCAUGCCUAACACAUGCAAGUCGAACGAGACCUUCGGGUCUAGUUGCGCACGGGUGCGUAACGCGUGGGAACCUGCCCUUAGGUUCGGAAUAACUCCCCGAAAGGGGUGCUAAUACCGGAUAAUGUCUUCGGACCAAAGAUUUAUCGCCUUUGGAUGGGCCCGCAUUGGAUUAGCUAGUUGGUAGGGUAAAAGCCUACCAAGGCGACGAUCCAUAGCUGGUCUGAGAGGAUGAUCAGCCACACUGGGACUGAGACACGGCCCAGACUCCUACGGGAGGCAGCAGUGGGGAAUAUUGGACAAUGGGCGAAAGCCUGAUCCAGCAAUGCCGCGUGAGUGAUGAAGGCCUUAGGGUUGUAAAGCUCUUUUACCCGGGAUGAUAAUGACAGUACCGGGAGAAUAAGCGCCGGCUAACUCCGUG